GGACAUUGGUGGUGGAAAGUCAAACGCAAUCGUUCUCAUUUUACGGUCAAGGCGUACAUAAACACACGAGCAGAUAUUUCUUUGUGAUUCAGUGAAGGAUUAUCAUGUUCAUACUUUUUAAAGAGUGAAUAAACAGCAAUUGUGAUAUUCCCGACUUACCAUGUCGGUGGAGGCGUACCUUCCGUCCUCCCCCAUUAUGACGGGCCUGGUUGCCCUGGUAGCUGGCCUCCUCUCCUUCUGGCUGCUUAGGGGCAUGCACUAUAACUACCCGCCCCGCCCAGGCAUCGCGCUCCCCUUGCUGGGACAUGCUUAUAAAAUAACUUUAAAUGACUUUUACUUGCAAACGUUUGAAUGG